rnacentral:tRNA from 1 species
AAGGAUUUAAGUUAAACCAAACUACCAACCUUCAAAGCUGGCAAUAGAUACUCUCUAAGCCUUA